rnacentral:lncRNA from 1 species
UGAUGAAAAUGUUCUUAUAUAGAUAGACUCUUAGUUCUCUAAACCGUUUCUAUUUUAUUAGGAAAAACAUAAAGUGAUUUGAUAUCGUCUAAACGUAGAAGAACUUCCCACUUAAGAUUAUUAGUGGAAAAACCUUUUAUAGUACUGUUUUACUUUAUGACUUUUAUAGUUUCUCCUUUCAAAUAGUCCCACUCCCUCUAAAACUAAAACGAGUCAGAACCUACGUGAUAUAUUUCUUCAUUUUUCAUACAAUUAUUGAUAUUUUUUCCUGCUCACAAGAUUAUUGCCUCCAACUCUUCCUUCGAAUUUGUUUCGGUCACCACCAUACCGCCUGGCUCUGGUUUGAAUCGCUCAUGUAGACAGCAGCAAGACGGAGAUGAUCAUAAUCCCAAAGAAUAAAGAUGGAACAGCCUAAGUUACAGAAAAAAAAAGAUGAACAGUGGAAAUUUUUAGACGGAAUUUUUUUAGAUCGUUUCUCCUUACUGUGUGUACUAUCCGAAUUCAAACACACAU